rnacentral:rRNA from 1 species
GACGAACGCUGGCGGCGUGCCUAAUACAUGCAAGUAGAACGCUGAAGGAGGAGCUUGCUUCUCUGGAUGAGUUGCGAACGGGUGAGUAACGCGUAGGUAACCUGCCUGGUAGCGGGGGAUAACUAUUGGAAACGAUAGCUAAUACCGCAUAAUAGCAGUUGUUGCAUGACAACUGUUUGAAAGGUGCAAUUGCACCACUACCAGAUGGACCUGCGUUGUAUUAGCUAGUUGGUGGGGUAACGGCUCACCAAGGCGACGAUACAUAGCCGACCUGAGAGGGUGAUCGGCCACACUGGGACUGAGACACGGCCCAGACUCCUACGGGAGGCAGCAGUAGGGAAUCUUCGGCAAUGGACGGAAGUCUGACCGAGCAACGCCGCGUGAGUGAAGAAGGGUUUCGGAUCGUAAAGCUCUGUUGUAAGAGAAGAACGAGUGUGAGAGUGGAAAGUUCACACUGUGACGGUAUCUUACCAGAAAGGGACGGCUAACUACGUG